GACGAACGCUGGCGGCGUGCCUAAUACAUGCAAGUAGAACGCAGUUUCGAACGGGUGAGUAACGCGUAGGUAACUGCCUCAUAGCGGGGGAUAACUACUGGAAACGAUAGCUAAUACCGCAUCCUGUGAGAUGUACCUGCGUUGUAUUUGCUAGUUGGUGAGGUAAAGGCUCACCAAGGCGACGAUACAUAGCCGACCUGAGAGGGUGAUCGGCCCCACUGGGACUGGGACACGGCCCAGACUCCUGCGGGAGGGAGCAGUAGGGAAUCUUCUGCCAUGUACGGAAGUCUGACCGAGCAACGCCGCGUGAGUAAAGAAGAGUUUCGGAUCGUAAGGCUCUGUUGUUAGAGAAGCUGUAACUAACCAGAAAAGGACGGCUAACUACGUGCCAGCAGCCGCGGUAAUUC
rnacentral:rRNA from 1 species